AAACUGGCAGUUUCGGCCAUGUACUUUUCCAUUGUGUCACUUUCAGUCGGCUAAAUCAUACCAUUAAUAUAAGCAUUACACUUUUAACUAUGUUUUGACGUAAGGUUUUUCAUCAGUCGCUUACUAUGGAAAAAGGCUUAAAAUCAUUCUGUAAAUUCUCAGACAGCAUCACAAGUGUGUCUUUGAUUUUUUCCACUCUGCUGGUUGUAACGAGGACGCCUUGGCUAGACUGAUAAUUUCCCCCCACCUCCAGACGGACAGCACUUUCCUCCUUUUUAGGUCAGUGUUACUGUUUCGGUAGACCACCCUGCUGUCUUGUGUCACGUGAGAUACGAUUCCUAAGAAAAGACCUCUCUACAUUUCUGCGUUCAAAGAGGACCCAAACACAAAUCCUAAAAUAGUGCGCUACCUACGGAUAUCUCGACAGACAUCCCAAACCAAUUUUGGCCCAUUACCAUGGAGAACGACCGCAAAUCUUGUCCGCUGAGCCCGGAUCUGAAGUUGGCCACACAAGUGUUUGCCCUCCUCAACAUUUGCAUGGACGUGGCCUUUAUCAUCUGGAUUAUCGUGGUGAUGAUAGGCCAAGAGCACGAAAUUUCGAUGACACCACGUUUGAUCAUGUUAGGGGCCCUUAUACCCAGUGCGGCCAGCAAUACAAUAUUGCUCGCGGGCUCAUUAACCAUGAGAAAAGGCUUUCUCUUGCAAUGGUUGAUCUUGAGACUGCCCAUCUUGAUUGUCUUUUGGUUGCCUUUUUUCUUAGGUUUCAAUGCUUGGCCUUUCUACUGGUUCAUGCUACCAACAAGUUUGGUGAUGAUCAUCUCUGGUUGCAUUAUCCUCACUUUUUACAUCAAGGCGGAUCAAUACAUGGGCUGAUUAAAUGUAUUCGUAAUUUCAAUCAUGCUUCGUAAUACUGAAUACGAAAAUAUUGCAAUAUCGAAACCUGUCA